GAAAUGCGAUAAGUAAUGUGAAUUGCAGAAUUCAGUGAAUCAUCGAAUCUUUGAACGCACAUUGCGCCCGCCAGUAUUCUGGCGGGCAUGCCUGUUCGAGCGUCAUUUCAACCAUCAAGCCCCCGGCUUGUGUUGGGACCUGCGGCUGCCCGCAGGCCCUGAAAAACAGUGGCGGGCUCGCUGUCACACCGAGCGUAGUAGCAUACAUUCUCGCUCAGGGCGUGCUGCGGGUUCCGGCCGUUAAACGACCUUCAUAACCCAAGGUUGACCUCGGAUCAGGUAGGAAGACCCGCUGAACUUAAGC
rnacentral:misc_RNA from 1 species